UACGGAGGAGGCAAGCGUUAUCCGGAAUUAUUGGGCGUAAAGCGUCCGCAGGUGUCACUUCAAGUCUGUCGUCAAAGACUGGGGCUUAACCCUGGAAAGGCCGUGGAAACUGACGAGCUAGAGUGCAGUAGGGGUAGAGGGAAUUCCCGGUGUAGCGGUGAAAUGCGUAGAGCUCGGGAAGAACAUCGGUGGCGAAAGCGCUCUACUGGACUGCAACUGACACUCAGGGACGAAAGCUAGGGGAGCGAAUGGG
rnacentral:rRNA from 1 species